rnacentral:rRNA from 1 species
GGGACACGUGAAACCCUGUGGGAAGCAGGAGGGACCACCCUCCAAGGCUAAAUACUACCUAGUGACCGAUAGCGUAUAGUACCGUGAGGGAAAGGUGAAAAGAACCCCGGGAGGGGAGUGAAAUAGAACCUGAAACCCUGCACUUACAAGCUGUGGAAGCACAUUUCUUGUGUGACCGCGUACUUUUUGUAGAACGGGCCAACGAGUUACGUUAAGUAGCAAGGUUAAGCACUUAAGGUGCGGAGCCGUAGCGAAAGCGAGUUUUAACUGAGCGUUCAGUUACUUGACGUAGACCCGAAACCGGGCGACCUACCCAUGAGCAGGAUGAAGCGAAAGUAAAAUUUCGUGGAGGUCCGAACCCACGAGCGUUGAAAAGCUCGGGGAUGACUUGUGGGUAGCGGUGAAAUUCCAAUCGAGCCCGGAGAUAGCUGGUUCUCCCCGAAAUAGCUUUAGGGCUAGCCUCAAGGUGAGAGAUACGGAGGUAGAGCACUGAAUGUCCUAGGGGGUAUUGCACCUACCGAAGACUAUCAAACUCCGAAUGCCGUCAUCUUAUACUUGGGAGUCAGACUGUGGGUGAUAAGAUUCAUAGUCGAAAGGGCAACAGCCCAGAUCGUCAGCUAAGGUCCCUAAAUGUAAGUUAAGUGGUAAAGGAUGUGGGAUUGCACAGACAACCAGGAUGUUGGCUUAGAAGCAGCCACUCAUUCAAAGAGUGCGUAAUAGCUCACUGGUCGAGUGAUCCUGCGCCGAAGAUUUCCGGGGCUAAAACUUACUACCGAAGCUACGGCAUCAUUAUGAUGGGUAGGGGAGCUUCCCAUACGGGUUGAAGCAUGACCGUAAGGACAUGUGGACAGUAUGGGAGUGAGAAUGUUGGCAUGAGUAGCGAGAUGUGGGUGAGAAUCCCACAGGCCGUAAACCCAAGGUUUCCAGGGGAAGGUUCGUCCGCCCUGGGUUAGUCGGGACCUAAGCUGAGGCCGAAAGGCGUAGGUGAUGGACAACAGGUUGAU